GACGGAGGGUGCUAGCGUUGUUCGGAAUGACUGGGCGUAAAGGGCGCGUAGGCGGCUCGUGAAGUCGGGUGUGAAAGCCCGGGGCUCAACCCCGGAACGGCAUCCGAUACUGGCGGGCUUGAGACCGGGAGAGGAGGGUGGAAUACCCAGUGUAGAGGUGAAAUUCGUAGAUAUUGGGGUGGAACACCGGUGGCGAAAGCGGCUCUCUGGCCCGGAUCUGACGCUGAGGCGCGAAAGCGUGGGGAGCAAACAGG
rnacentral:rRNA from 1 species